rnacentral:lncRNA from 1 species
AUGUUUCCCAAAUAUGUUUUAUUCUGUCAGUUUUUAAAUUUCAUAAUACUAAAACCUAUUUAUACAAUCAAUAAACCUCUUUUUCAAAAGGCUAGCAUAUCCAAUGUAUAUAAUCAAAGAACUCCUAACAAUCAGGGAAAGAACCUAAAUCUGUAUGUCAUAUAUGACAUUGCAUGUGUACUUUCAUCACACAUGCAUAAAAAAGCAGAAGCAAUGCAACAAGGCGUAUCUCUGGCUGUUCCAGCAUUUCAUGUUUUUGGUCAUAAAUUACAGUGUCAGGUUCUGUACAGUACGAGAAGAUUAAAAGGCUUUGGGCUAACAGAUGGAGAAGGUAUGGAGAGGUUAUGGUCCUUCCUUAGAAGAUUUGCUCGUAUUACAAAAGAGAUGAGUCCAUCCCACCGGCUUGACCUCUUGACUGAAGCACUUCUUUAUUAUGGGAGGAGAAAAACAGCGGAUAUAGAAGUGCAGCUCCAUCACAGAUGGGAAAAAGCAGAGAAGGUCGCUAAUCUAGCUAAAGAGGAGUUAGCUGCUGUCUUAAAAGAGGCACCAGCGAGUGUUUCAGAGCACACUGUACAGAGAUGGAUGGAAACGGAGAACGAAGUUGCUAGAUUGACAGUUUUGAAAACCAAAACAGCAGACAGUGUUCCCAAAUGGAAGAGGGUGUAUGUGACAACGCUGAUUGAGCUCCAGCAGCUCAAUCAACACUGUUAGAGCUCGACCAGGACAUUCGAGGUAAACUGGUCAUGCAGGCACGAACUGAGGCAAGGGAAAGACUUACACUUCUUCACUUGAAGCGGAAAUACCCAGAUGGACAGGGAAUUGCUGUCAGAUUGUCUAAACAAAUUAAGGCCUGUAACAAGAGACUGAGGAAAACCAUAACAGAUUACAAUAGUCUGCAAUGGCCACCACAGACAACCAUCUUCCCACCACAGAUGGAUUUUCAAGAAGCAUGUGAUCCCUCCUGGCCUGUCUACUGUAGCAUUGAUGAAAAUACAGAGGAAGGAGACUUUUCACGAUCCCUCAAAAGACGUGCCAUUGAUGCAUUGCACCUGAAGACCAGGGCUGCUGAGGAGGAGAUCAUGCUUCAGGAUGAAAUGAAGACUUUAAUACAUCAUGUUCAGCAACAACAUGCUUCUUUACACUCAGCUAUUACUAAUACUAAGCAACCUGGCUCCAGAGCUGUUCUUGUUGGCACCAUUAUAAACUUGGAACAGAAACUACAUAAUGCUACCUUGAUGUUCCAGCAACACAUUCCAAGUAUUGCUCCUCUUUCACACGCUUACCUGCCACAGUUGAAUGUAGUCUGCCAGAACGUGAUAUCACCGGAUGUGUACAUGGCUUUAUUCAACGACGAUGAUGAUGAUGAUGAUGAUGAUGAAGAUGGUAAUGAUGAUGAUGAGGAGGAUUGUGAUGAUAGCAUUUAAAGCUAAAAUAAAAUGCAGAUUCAUCCAACA